rnacentral:sRNA from 1 species
GGAAUCAUCAUGGUGCUUUAUUUCUAACAUUAAUCAAACAGCACAAGCAUCCUUAACCCAGAGAGGCUUGUGUUGUGCUUGGCAUUUGAUAGUAAAUGUGGACUGCUUAGGAAGCAUCCCUACGUGCAGUCUGGAAGGAAGACACUCCCUAGGAUGAGUGAACCAAGGAAAGCGGGUCAUACUGAAUGUGCUCAUAUCGUGUGCCCAUAACCUCCUAAACACAGUGGCUGAAACAGAGACAGACGCUGCUCUUCACCAACUCAGAGACUCUCCCCUGCAAGAGCUCUAAAUUGUAGUUCAGAGACUUGCAUUGCUCUGCCAUGGGCUUGAAAUAAAAAAUAAUUGGAAGCUAUGGGGAAACCACCAUCUUCUGCUGUUGACUGAUGAGUAGAAAUGGCUGGAUGAGGAAGAGAAAAAUAAGAGACGGAGACACACAGAAAGAUUGGCUGUGGUUCCUCCCCUGGGUUUGGAGAAAUUCAAUAAAAGCAUUAGGAUUCUG